AUCAUCACCUGAACCAUCCAUCCCCGCCACUCCCUGGUCUGUGGAAAAAUCGUCUUCCAUAAAACUGGUGCCAAAAAGUUUGGGGAUCGCUGCCAUAGAGGCUCAAGAAACAUCAUUUAACCUAACCUGGAUCAGCUCUUCCAUGGUACACACCUUAUGAAUACGCUGAGGAACUGGAAUGUGACCCUCUGGAGGCAGCAUGAAAGAUUCACUGAAGAAGAAUCAGAGGGACACAAGCAGAUGAGUAGACCAUAAGUAAUUGCAUUGAGUGGACUUUAAAGAAAGCUGAGCACCGAAGAAUUGAUGCUUUUGAACUGUGGUGUUGGAGAAGACUCUUGAGAGUCCCUUGGACUGCAAGGAGAUCCAACCAGUCCAUUAUAAAGGAGAUCAGUCCUGGGUGUUCUUUGGAAGGAAUGAUGCUAAAGCUGAAACUCCAGUACUUUGGCCACCUCAUGUGAAGAGUUGACUCAUUGGAAAAGACUCUGAUGCUGGGAAGGAUUGGGGGCAGGAGGAGAAGGGGACAACAGAGGAUGAGAUGGCUGGAUGGCAUCACUGCCUCGAUAAAAGUUCUAUCUCCCUGCUCAAAGUUUCAUUUGUUGUUUGCUGAUGAUCUGAUCUCAGAGGACAGAAUGAAACAGAAGAAAUUACUGAAGAUGGAGGCUCAGGCUAAGCUCCUGUUCAUCUGAGACCUGUGAAACUGGUCUAAGACAGGCAAGCAACCUGAUUAACCUGUGAUUUUGCUCUUGGCUAUAAAGAUGACAGAAAGUAAGAAACAGGUGUCUUGUUACCCAGCCUUUCUAAACUUUAGGCCAUCUCGCAGUGUUUAUUGAUUUAACUGGCAAUAUACUGAGACCGAGAAGACUCUUUUUGAAAACUGCCUUAAACAUCUAGGUAAUGUAGUGAAUGCAAUAGGAUGCCGUCAUAGGACAAUGAGCCUCCUGCUCAGAGAAAGAGAGCAUCAAGGUGAAAGAACAUCAUUUAUCAAUAUAUAAGUGUGGAGGCAAAGAUGUGAAGUUUCAAGGGAAGGUAUUUAUCAUGAGAUAUUGUUCUAUUAAGCCAGCUUUAUUUUGGUUAUGUCAAGUGAUUGAUGUGCAGUAGAUGUAAUCAUUUUGUUGAAAAGAUGUUAGCCCAGCAGAGUGUCAACUGUUCACUGUACCAUUAUUAAACAGCUACAUUCUGAUUGACUUCCUAACAAGAGACUUUCAAGCUUCUAUUAAUCAGAAAUAAGCAAUCCAAAAGCAAAAGCAAAGUCAAAAGGAGUGACAAAAGCAUUUGAUAGACUUUUAGAGUGUCAGGAGAAAGAACUAAAUUACAUUAAAUACAAUUUAGCAUUAAAGAAAUAGCCAAAAAAAAAACCUGCAUAAGGCCAUAAUUGGAAAAUCAUAUACUCUUCGCUUUGUAACCUUUCUCAAUAAUUGACUUUUGUCA
ensembl:lncRNA